rnacentral:rRNA from 1 species
AUUGAACGCUGGCGGCAUGCCUUACACAUGCAAGUCGAACGGCAGCACGGGAGCAAUCCUGGUGGCGAGUGGCGAACGGGUGAGUAAUAUAUCGGAACGUGCCCAGUCGUGGGGGAUAACGCAGCGAAAGCUGUGCUAAUACCGCAUACGAUCUACGGAUGAAAGCGGGGGAUCGCAAGACCUCGCGCGAUUGGAGCGGCCGAUAACAGAUUAGCUAGUUGGUGGGGUAAAGGCCUACCAAGGCGACGAUCUGUAGCUGGUCUGAGAGGACGACCAGCCACACUGGAACUGAGACACGGUCCAGACUCCUACGGGAGGCAGCAGUGGGGAAUUUUGGACAAUGGGCGCAAGCCUGAUCCAGCAAUGCCGCGUGCAGGAUGAAGGCCUUCGGGUUGUAAACUGCUUUUGUACGGAACGAAACGGUGAGCUCUAAUACAGUUUGCUAAUGACGGUACCGUAAGAAUAAGCACCGGCUAACUACGUGCCAGCCGCCGCAGUAAUAC